AAUGCACGAAGUCUGAUGCAGCAACGCCGCGUGGAGGAUGACACAUUUCGGUGCGUAAACUCCUUUUAUAUAAGAAGAUAAUGACGGUAUUAUAUGAAUAAGCACCGGCUAACUCCGUGCCAGCAGCCGCGGUAA
rnacentral:rRNA from 1 species